UUCAUUUUUUAAGAAAGAUCAGCUAUUCACUUUUAUCAUCACAGGGUAACCUAUCAUAUGUAAUAGAGAGCAUCGUCAUUCGUCAAUGCAAAGGGCAUUAGCGCCAUCUUCUGAAAGUCACCUGCCUGAACUGCUAUGCCAUUUUCGUAUCAUAUACGACGUUAUCGAUUCAGUGUAGAGGAAGAUUACAGGGCCAGUGGAGUAUUUGUCGCAAUCGAUCUAUUGUUUGUUGUUUAACAAAGUUUAAUUUAUUUUUUUCAUUAUAUGGAAUUUUGGUAUUGACGAGAGGUUUAUCAGAGCUGUAACAUAUAUUUUAUACUUAAUAUCUAUCUGUUCGACCGUUCGCGAAGAGACGCAAUCGCGAGGAAGCGCGCCAGGGGGAGUUGUAAAUUCCCAUUACGAUUAGACAAUCGACGCCACAAAAUAAUCGAUUUCGUUUAGCAUAAUAGAGUUGGUUGAACUGAUUAUAACAUUGAGGAUGAAAAUUAAUGAAGAGAUGGUGACUAAUCUAAGGACGAUAAACCAGAGAAGUUCGACGACGAUGCUGCCGCAGAGGAAAACUAUUGCUGGGUGUGUUGGUCGUCUCACCAUCGGUCACUUGCGGGUGGACAUGACAGUUGAACAUGGGAAAACCCGACAACAAAACAAAAAUCUUUUGUCUGAUGGAGCGAUAACCAUAAGGAACGUCUCGACUUGAAUAUAUUUUAAAAUGAUUAAAGGCUUAAACAAUAAAAUACAAA